rnacentral:rRNA from 1 species
UACGUAGGGGGCAAGCGUUGUCCGGAUUCAUUGGGCGUAAAGAGCGUGUAGGCGGCCAGGUAGGUCGGUUGUGAAAACUGGAGGCUCAACCUUCAGAGGUCGACCGAAACCAUCUGGCUAGAGUCCGGGAGAGGAGAGUGGAAUUCCUGGUGUAGCGGUGAAAUGCGCAGAUAUCAGGAAGAACACCCGUGGCGAAAGCGGCUCUCUGGACCGACACUGACGCUGAGGCGCGAAAGCUAGGGGAGCAAACGGG